GAGAGAGAGAGAGAGAGAAGUUAGGCUGUGAAGUUGGGAUUGCGGAGCGUGGGAAGUAAGAAGAUUCACUUUGAUCAACUUUCUGUUUGGGUUUAGUCCAUUUGGAAUCUAGGAAAGUACUUAUAGUGGACGCAUCCUAAUUCCUCCAUAGUUGGCUUCCUGUAAAAUAAGCUAAUAUAAGAAUCAAACGUGGCUAGAAGCCAAAGGUGGUGAUCUACCUCUCCAUAUAUUGGCUUUGUUAGCCUUUUG
rnacentral:misc_RNA from 1 species